UCGAGAAUCUUCCGCAAUGGACGAAAGUCUGACGGAGCGACGCCGCGUGGUUGAUGAAGUCCUUAGGGACGUAAAAACCUUUUAUGAGGGAGAAAGUUUAUUGAUAGUACCUCAUGAAUAAGGGGUUGCUAAACUCGUGCCAGCAGCAGCGGUAAUACGAGUGCCCCGAGCGUUAUCCGGAAUCAUUGGGCGUAAAGGGUGUGUAGGUGGUUGUAUUAGUCUUUUGUUAAAUUCUUCGGCUUAACCGGGGGCAUGCAAAAGAAACGGUACAACUUGAGAGUGCGAGGGGUGUAUGGAACUCAUGGAGUAGGGGUGAAAUCCGUUGAUAUCAUGGGGAACACCAAAAGCGAAGGCAGUACACUGGCGCAUUUCUGACACUGAAACA
rnacentral:rRNA from 1 species